rnacentral:tRNA from 1 species
GCUGUAGCUCAGUGGCAGAGCACCUGCUUUGUAUGCAGAAGGUCCCAAGUUCAAUCCCUGGCAUCUCCA